rnacentral:lncRNA from 1 species
UGGUCGUACAAGAAGAACAGGGGGGCGAUCCCCACACAUCAAAACCCUAAAUCUUCACCAAACUUGCAAAUUGAAGGCUCAAUCCAAGUCAAAAUCGAAAAUCAAGCAUAGAUUAUUGAUCCCCAUGGCAAGAGGGUUUUUGACUCUUGACAAGCUAGAUGGAGGCUUGGGAAUGAAGCGGGUUAAACGGAGCAAGUACGAAAAGGAAAGCGUAAUUUGGAUGCGAGGUAAGUAAAACUUACACCUAAUUGUAGUAUACGUGUUUAUUUUAUAGGCGAUAAAUACAACAAAGGAUUUGGUUCGAAUUAUGGGUUCCAACACAAAACGAAUUGGGUUGGAACGAAUAGAAAUGUUUUAAACCAUGAUUAAUGGUGAAAAAGGCAAAACGGUAAACUAGUCAUGAAUUGGUUAAUAGUUUAAGAGUUUUCUUAAAGUUACCUUAUAGCGUAACUAGUAAUGGAAAAUGAGUAAGAAUGGAAAUUUAGUCAAGUAUUGACUAAAGUAAAAUAAGUUUCAAAGGACACCCAUAGCAUAAGCCGAAUGGGUUAAAAAUAUAGGAAAUUGACUUUAGAAAGAAAGGGAUCUAGUGAGAAAAUCCGAAAUGGUUCGGAUGUGUGAUUGGUAAUUAAAAACCAUGUUUUUGUUACAUAUGAAAACGUUGGGUUAUAUAGACCGAACGGGUCAAAUGGUGGGAAUAACGUCAUUUGACAAAAUCAACUAAUGUGGUGGUCAAGUCAUGUGUUACAGGAGCGAAUAGUAAUUUGGAUAAUUGCGUCGCCAUAGAAUAUCGGUCAUAAAAGCAAGGUGUUGAAAAGGGUCAUUAGGGUGACUCGAGCCAGGUACGUAUAAAUACGAUUGUGGUUAAACAUACAUUCUUUUUUUUGGGUCAAAUAAGUAGCAAAUGCCCUUCGUCGUAAAUGAGGGGCUAAAGUUGACUAAAAUGCCCUUGUUGGGUAAACCGGGCAAACAACCUUUAAAAGUUGUUGGAAAUAAGUGUUUUGGUAGAUUAAAUCCUUAAGAUAAGUAUAAAAGGGAUGUUAUGGGACCUUAGUGCAUAAAUACCCUUAACGGGUCAAAAUAAGCAUACAAACGAAAACGGGUUUAAUUUGUGUAAUAAACCGGGGAUUAUAAUCUAGUAUGAUAGACAACAUUAAGUUGAAGAAGUACAUGAGAUAUAAAGGUCAAAUACACAAGUUUGUGAUGAAAUCACGAACGGGUCAAAAGUUGAUAAAAAGGGUAAUAAGCCAAAGAUUUAAAAGUCUGAAAUUUUGUUAAAUCGGAUGUUAGAUUUUAACUCCAUAUGAUGGAGAAUCAAAUUACAAACACGUAGGAAGAAACGGUAGGUUAAACAGACGAGCGGUUUGAAAGAUACGAAAGUUUUCGUGUCAAAAACGGCAAAAAGGAAAGGAAUGAUGCAGGGGCCACCGUAACUUACGGUGCCACCGUAAGUUACGGUGGACAUGAUUUGGUUACGGUAAAUGCCUACUGUUGUACGGUUGAAUAAUUGAAACACAGAGACCACCGUAACUUACGGUGCCACCGUAAGUUACGGUGGAGGUCAGAAAUGAGUUUUUAUUUUGGGUUUAAGAUACCAUGUGGGAUUUUCCUAAUUUCCCCGUUGUAUUACUUUAAUUAAUUAUCAAAACUGACCUUUAAGUUGGUUUUGAUCACAGGUGAAUGUCGAGGGUCCCGGAUGAAGAUCGAGCAUCGAGCAAGAACCGAACACACAUUAAAUAAAGGUUCCGCAACGUUGUUUUGUCGUUAUUCUAAACGGCGAUUUAAAUCACAUUAUGUAUAUCACUUAAAUUGUAAAAGUUUUUAACCAACCUGUAUUUCCGAUGUAUAUAUAAUCAUUAAUUACAUGAUUAUUUUCGCAAAAUAUACGUUAAGCCUUGAUUUAUAAGAACGGGUCUUACAAGUUGGUAAUCAGAGCUCAAGGUUGUUGACAAAAUGUGUUCGGUUCGAGGCUUGAUCGCAAAUCCGGUAAGUACAUGUAUAUUAAUGGUUUGGUAUGUGUUGAAAUGUUGUGAACAACACAUAGGGUUAUCGUGUGAUACACGUUACCCCAAUUAAAAUGAUUGAUAUAGUUGACGAAAAUACGUGCGUUGACGCGUAUAGUAGAAAAAGCCUCGUAUUAUAAUACGGGCGAUUAUUAAAGUUGAUAUUACUAACUCUUGUGAAUGUUUUAAUUAAAGGACACUCGCGUUGAAGACGACGAGAGUCAAACGAACUGUGGAUACGAUGAUGGAACGAUCCGAAGUAUGACAAGAGGAGCAUGCUCACCGAGGACUAAAUCGCGUAAAGACCGCGAACAAGGUUAAUGGCAAGGAACGCCCGUCGGGGCAAACAUUACCAGGUGCACAUUUUAAAUAAUCGCACAAAUAGUAAUAUGCAACAAAUAAGUAGAAAUUGAAAGUUGCAUAUG